GGUAAAAGCACAGAGAUUGUGCUUGGAGAUUGGGAUUAGGAGUACAUCGACUCCUAGAACUGUGAGUAAACUUAUUAUCGUCUUAAUUAUCUAGAGUAGUUUUAUACAAUUGUGUGAUUUUAUGGAAAAUUUGUUUAAAAUGGUAAAUUGCUAUGUUUUAAGAGAAAUUGUGAUUUUAUAAAAUGAUUUUAUAAAUUUUUUGAAAAAUCGAAUACUGGUUUUGAAAAUAGAGUAAUUGAAGACUGCCUGCUUGUGUUGUAAAUUUAUGGUUUUGAAUUGAAUGGCUUAUGACAAUAAAUGAGCAUAAAUGGCUAAACUAAUUUUGAUGUUAGAAUUAUUUAUACUGUGUAUUCAGCCUUGUGAGGCUAGGUUGCGAUAAAUUGUCAUGUCAUGUUAGAAUGAAUUUUAUUGAUUAGUGGAUUAUAUAUUAAUUAUUCAUUGCAGAGAGGGUUCCGUGGACCAGCCUAUUAGAGGGGCACGGUAAACUCCAUUAUAUCCUUACCUCGAACGGAGAGGCGCGUAGGGUAUCUCCUGGGGUAAAGCUUAGGAUUCACUUCACGCUAAACCACCAUGUGAAGGGGAACUCAGCCAAUGCCAAGGAACGGCUGUAUUUUUCUCAAACUAAAAAUAUAUUUUAAGUGUAUACAAAAAUUUUAACAGCCUUGGCGGACUCGGUUGGAUGCCCUGUGCAAGGUAUCAUCGAGUAUGAGUUUUGGCACGAGCCAAAGUUUUAAGAAAUUCAUAAGCCAAGUUGAUUACUCGAUUUAUAUGGAUCGAUUUUAUUUGGUUGAAAUGAGUUGAAAGGUAAUGAAAUUAUAGUAUGAUGACUUAUUUUAAUUGUCUCCAUUUACUCUACUUUAGAUAGUUUAGAUUGUAUCUGUUUACUUACUGGGAUUUUAUAAUCUCACCAUACUCAUUUCCUCACAUUUCAGGCUCGGGAAAUUUCAUAGUUAGCUGACUUUGACAAGAACUUUCAUUUGGACUCGAAUCGGUAAAAGCUGUAGGUUUUCAGCUUUCGAUGCAUUUUGGAUAGAUGUGGGCCCACGUGUCACUGUAAAAGAAAUUUUAUGCUUUGGUUAUUUGCUUUAU
rnacentral:lncRNA from 1 species